rnacentral:rRNA from 1 species
UACGUAGGGUGCAAGCGUUUGUCCGGAAUUAUUGGGCGUAAAGAGCUCGUAGGCGGUCUGUCGCGUCGGCUGUGAAAACCUGAGGCUCAACCUCAGGCCUGCAGUCGAUACGGGCGGACUUGAGUACUGCAGGGGAGACUGGAAUUCCUGGUGUAGCGGUGAAAUGCGCAGAUAUCAGGAGGAACACCGAUGGCGAAGGCAGGUCUCUGGGCAUUAACUGACGCUGAGGAGCGAAAGCAUGGGGAGCGAACAGG